rnacentral:rRNA from 1 species
GUUGUAUGGUUAAGUGACUAAGCGUACACGGUGGAUGCCUUGGCAGUCAGAGGCGAUGAAGGACGUAGUAACUUGCGAUAAGCGUAGAUGAGGCAGUAACAGCCACUUGAGUCUACGAUUUCCGAAUGGGGAAACCCACUGGCAUAAGCCAGUAUCAUUGAGUGAAUACAUAGCUCAAUGAAGCGAACCGGGAGAACUGAAACAUCUAAGUACCCCGAGGAAAAGAAAUCAACCGAGAUUCCGAAAGUAGCGGCGAGCGAAAUUGGAUUAGCCCUUAAGCUUUACAUGUGUUAGACGAACGGUCUGGAAAGUCCGACGAUACAGGGUGAUAGUCCCGUAGUUGACGAUGCAUGUUCAGUGAAAUCGAGUAGGGCGGGACACGUGUUAUCCUGUCUGAAUAUGGGGGGACCAUCCUCCAAGGCUAAAUACUCCUGACUGACCGAUAGUGAACCAGUACCGUGAGGGAAAGGCGAAAAGAACCCCUGUGAGGGGAGUGAAAUAGAACCUGAAACCGUGUACGUACAAGCAGUAGGAGCACCUUCGUGGUGUGACUGCGUACCUUUUGUAUAAUGGGUCAGCGACUUAUAUUCAGUGGCAAGGUUAACCAUCUAGGGGAGCCGUAGGGAAACCGAGUCUUAACUGGGCGCCAUAGUCUCUGGAUAUAGACCCGAAACCGAGUGAUCUAGCCAUGGGCAGGUUGAAGGUUGAGUAACAUCAACUGGAGGACCGAACCGACUAAUGUUGAAAAAUUAGCGGAUGACUUGUGGCUAGGGGUGAAAGGCCAAUCAAACUCGGAGAUAGCUGGUUCUCCCCGAAAGCUAUUUAGGUAGCGCCUCGGACGAAUACUACUGGGGGUAGAGCACUGUUAAGGCUAGGGGGUCAUCCCGACUUACCAACCCUUUGCAAACUCCGAAUACCAGUAAGUACUAUCCGGGAGACACACGGCGGGUGCUAACGUCCGUCGUGGAGAGGGAAACAACCCAGACCGCCAGCUAAGGUCCCAAAUUACAGCUAAGUGGGAAACGAUGUGGGAAGGCUUAGACAGCUAGGAUGUUGGCUUAGAAGCAGCCAUCAUUUAAAGAAAGCGUAAUAGCUCACUAGUCGAGUCGGCCUGCGCGGAAGAUGUAACGGGGCUAAGUUGUAAACCGAAGCUGCGGCAAUGUUCUUUGAACAUUGGGUAGGGGAGCGUUCUGUAAGCCGUUGAAGGUGUGUUGUAAAGCAUGCUGGAGGUAUCAGAAGUGCGAAUGCUGACAUGAGUAACGACAAGGGGGGUGAAAAACCUCCCCGCCGGAAGACCAAGGGUUCCUGUCCAACGUUAAUCGGGGCAGGGUAAGUCGACCCCUAAGGCGAGGCCGAAAGGCGUAGUCGAUGGGAAACGGGUUAAUAUUCCCGUACUUCUUACAAUUGCGAUGGGGGGACGGAGAAGGCUAGGUGGGCCUGGCGACGGUUGUCCAGGUUCAAGUGCGUAGGCUGAGUGUUUAGGUAAAUCCGGA